ACUAAAUAUGCUUCUUUUCGUUUGCCUAACACCCUCUAUUGUCCCCAAGCCUCAACUAAUGUGAUUUCUUUGAACCGUUUUUCGGAUGAUAAUAACUGCUUCUUUACUUUCCAUCCCCAUUUUUAUCGUGUGCAGGAUUCACGGACGGGGAGGAUCCUUUUACAAGGCCGGAGUAACAAUGGACUCUACCCGUGUUCUAAUCACCCCUCUCAUCAAACCCAUGGUGUUUUUGCUUUCUUAGGUGAACGUGUAACUGAUGCCUUGUGGCAUAGUAGGUUAGGUCAUCCUUCGUUUUCAAUUUUAAAACAUUUAAUUUCUGUAAAUAAAUUGCCCAUUCAAGGCUCGUUUCAAAAUAAAUUUUAAGAGUGAAAAAGUAUCAAGUAAUGAAAUAUAGUUUUUAUUUUUAUUUAUUUUUUAUAAUUUUUUACUUUAGUUAAACAAAUAUUUUAGUUUUUAUUUUAAUGUAAUUUUUUUACUCAAGUUAAACAAAUAUUUUGUAAUGGAUAGAAAAAAUCGGCGACAAAUAUAGAAAACCAAGACAAGAAGUCGUACGAUCACCAUUUUGGUUCUCGACCCCCUACCUUGCUGGGUCGGCGGGAGGCUGGGGAGAAGUUCUUGGUGCCGGUGAUUUGGGGGGAGAGCCACGCUAAUCAUGGCAAUGAGGUUGCGGACGAAAAUUUACGUUUCUAUGGUAUAGAAGAAGGAUGAGUACAUCGCCAAUCUCUCCCAGAAUCAUCCUGACAUGCCUAUAGAGGAGCUAACACUGGAUCUAGAGGUGUCUCUCCAGGUGCUGAUGGACAAGGUUGGGUGAAGGAAGGGCAAUGAAUUAUGCGGCCUAGAGCGAGACGGGUUCAGGAAGUCGAGUCAUGUUCUUCAUCCAGCUUCACUCCAUCGACCGGGAUUGAUUCAAGACUUCAAUAGGUGGAGAGGAGCUGGUGCGCCUAAGGGAAUUAGUGAGCCAGUACUUCAUUGUCAUAUGUCAAAUUGCAUGCGUAUGCAGGGGAAGAGUAUGAACACGUACGUCCGUGUAUGGGAGAAGAGAACCAUAUAUAUAGCUUAAUUUAAAUCCGACGGAAUUACCUAACUAUAUAUAUGUUAUAAUUAAGAUAUAUAUGGAGGAUUCAUGAA